rnacentral:misc_RNA from 1 species
CCAAACUUGGUCAUUUAGAGGAAGUAAAAGUCGUAACAAGGUUUCCGUAGGUGAACCUGCGGAAGGAUCAUUAUCGAGUUUUGAACGGGUUGUCUGCUGGCUCGCAAGGGCAUGUGCACGCCUGUCUCAUCCACUCUCAACUUCUGUGCACUUUUCAUAGGCCGGCUUGUGGGUGCGUUCGCGCACUUGUAGGUGUCGGGCUUAUGCUUUACUACAAACGAUUCAGUUUUAGAAUGUCAUACUUUGCUAUAACGCAAUUUAUAUACAACUUUCAGCAACGGAUCUCUUGGCUCUCGCAUCGAUGAAGAACGCAGC